AACGAACGCUGGCGGCGCGCCUAAUACAUGCAAGUCGAGCGAGAAGACGUAGCAAUACGUUUGUAAAGCGGCGAACGGGUGAGGAAUACAUGGGUAACCUACCCUCGAGUGGGGAAUAACCAGCCGAAAGGUUAGCUAAUACCGCGUACGCUCCUUGGACUUCGGUUCAGGGAGGAAAGCGAUACCGUGGGUAUCGCGCUCUUGGUUGGGCUCAUGUCCUAUCAGCUUGUUGGUGAGGAACGGCUCACCAAGGCUUCGACGGGUAGCUGGUCUGAGAGGACGAUCAGCCACACUGGCACUGCGACACGGGCCAGACUCCUACGGGAGGCAGCAGUAAGGAAUAUUGCGCAAUGGGCGAAAGCCUGACGCAGCGACGCCGCGUGGGGGAUGAAGGUCUUCGGAUUGUAAACCCCUUUCGGGAGGGAAGAUGGAACGAGCAAUCGUUCGGACGGUACCUCCAGAAGCAGCCACGGCUAACUUCGUGCC
rnacentral:rRNA from 1 species